ACGCUCGACACCUACGGAGGCAACAGUGGGGAAUAUUGCACAAUGGGGGAAACCCUGAUGCAGCGACGCCGCGUGGAGGAAGAAGGUCUUCGGAUUGUAAACUCCUGUUGUUGGGGAAAAAGAGGAUGGUACCCAACAAGGAAGUGACGGCUAACUACGUGCUAGCAGCCGCGGUAAUCUGAGCGGGCUGGCAAGGC
rnacentral:rRNA from 1 species